rnacentral:rRNA from 1 species
AUUGAACGCUGGCGGCAGGCCUAACACAUGCAAGUCGAACGGUAACAGGAAACAGCUUGCUGUUUCGCUGACGAGUGGCGGACGGGUGAGUAAUGUCUGGGAAACUGCCUGAUGGAGGGGGAUAACUACUGGAAACGGUAGCUAAUACCGCAUAACGUCGCAAGACCAAAGAGGGGGACCUUCGGGCCUCUUGCCAUCAGAUGUGCCCAGAUGGGAUUAGCUAGUAGGUGGGGUAACGGCUCACCUAGGCGACGAUCCCUAGCUGGUCUGAGAGGAUGACCAGCCACACUGGAACUGAGACACG